GUAUCAUGGCUCAGGAUGAACGCUGGCGGCGUGCUUAAUACAUGCAAGUCGAACGAAGCACCUUGGACAGAAUCCUUCGGGAGGAAGACCAUUGUGACUGAGUGGCGGACGGGUGAGUAACGCGGUGGGUAACCUGCCUUGUACAGGGGAUAACAGUUGGAAACGACUGCUAAUACCGCAUAAGCGCACAGUACCGCAUGGUACGGUGUGAAAAACUCCGGUGGUACAAGAUGGACCCGCGU
rnacentral:rRNA from 1 species